AUUGAACGCUGGCGGAAUGCUUUACACAUGCAAGUCGAACGGUAACAGGUCUUCGGAUGCUGACGAGUGGCGAACGGGUGAGUAAUGCAUCGGAACGUGCCCAGUCGUGGGGGAUAACGCAGCGAAAGCUGUGCUAAUACCGCAUACGAUCUAUGGAUGAAAGCGGGGGAUCGCAAGACCUCGCGCGAUUGGAGCGGCCGAUGUCAGAUUAGCUAGUUGGUGGGGUAAAGGCCCACCAAGGCGACGAUCUGUAGCUGGUCUGAGAGGACGACCAGCCACACUGGGACUGAGACACGGCCCAGACUCCUACGGGAGGCAGCAGUGGGGAAUUUUGGACAAUGGGCGCAAGCCUGAUCCAGCAAUGCCGCGUGCAGGAAGAAGGCCUUCGGGUUGUAAACUGCUUUUGUACGGAACGAAACGGUCCUGGUUAAUACCCGGGCUAAUGACGGUACCGUAAGAAUAAGCACCGGCUAACUACGUGCCAGCAGCC
rnacentral:rRNA from 1 species